CCUAUUGAGUGUUAUAUCAAAUGAUAGUAGAAGUAAAAUUAUACUUUACUUUGAGGUCAGACACGUUGAUGUAGGAA
rnacentral:ncRNA from 1 species